CCGGGGUGCGAGAAAAGUCCCCGAGGAGCCCCGGAGCUGGGCGGGAGGGGGAGCGAGAAAGAGCCACGGGAAAGCCGAGCCGCUAUUGGCUCCCAGCCGCUGUCCAUCCCGGCCCCGCCGCCAAUCCCAACGCGAGGCGCCGCGGGCCUAACGGAGGGCGUGCCCGGCCCCGCCCUUAGACCAAUAGCGUGGGAGAAGGUGGGCGGGGCCGCCACCGGCGCCGUGCUGAGGGGGAGCCAAGAUGGCGGCCAGGGGGGGGCUCGGCGGCCGCGCCGCUGCCCGGCCCCGCUCCCCCGGCCCCGCCGCCGCCUCCCCCCGCUCGCUGAGAGCCGCGGGCCGUUAAGCGGAGACCGAGCCGGGGGGGGACCGGCCCCGCUGCCUCAAGGCUCCCCCAGGCUCCUUCCCGCCCUGCCCGGUCACCUUCCCGCGACCCCAGCGCGGGGGGUGCGUGAGGGAGGAGAGCCCCUGAGGGAAGGGGGGGGGGCCGCGGCCUGCCGCGCACCGCGUUACCUGCCCGCUCCAGCGCUCUCCGCCGGUGCCGCCGCCUCCUUUUAGGAUUUUUUGGGGGGGGUUCUCCUCAUUUUUUUGGAAAAAAAAGCAAACCUUUCCGCCUCCCAACCCCCCCCCCCCCCCCCCCCGUUGGGGCGGACGGGCUCACCCAGCCGGCGGCGGGAGGGGAGGGCACAAGAUGUCGGCUCCGUCCUCUCCGGCAACCGCCGCCUUCUCCUCAGCGCCGCCUCCUCAUGCCGCUGCCGCCGCUCCGGCCCCCCCGGUGCCGCUUCUUCUCUCCCCCCCCCCCCCAACCUCCAACUCCUUUUUCCCUGCUCCCACCCCCCCAAAAAAAAAAAAAUUUAAAAAAAAAAUCCCUCCCGGGGGCCCCCCCCAGCGCCCCCCGGUGCUGUGUGGAGGGGAUGGGGGGGUUGGGGGGCGGGGGGGGGGAGCAGGGGACACCACGGGCACAAGAUGGAGGCGGCGCUGGUGGCGGUGCUGGUGGCGGCGGAGCCCGGCCGAGCGGCGAGGGAAGGCGGCGGGCAGGCGGGGGAGGGGGCUGCUGUGGUUCUCCGCUCCGCUUUCUCUCUGUCUUUCCACCCCCCCCCCCCGCCGCGGGCAGGGACCGCCCGCCCCUCCCCGGUCCCUUCCCACCCCCGGGCUGAGCCGAGCUGGAGGCCCCCGGGGGCUGCGGGGUGAUGGGGAGGAGGUUGGGGGGGGGCUGGCAGUGGUUGGGGGUGCUGCUUGUGGAUGGUGGUGGUGCCCCCCCACACACACUUUGUGCGUGGUGGGGAGGGGGCUGCAGAGCUGCUGCUGGCUCCGGGUGGUUGGGGGGGGACACACACACAGUCGUCGUGCCCCCCCCCCCCAGCUUGGGGUUAGCCCAAGGGUCCCAUCUUAGUUACACCGGGAGAUGGGCAAGCCAGCUUUUGUCCCAGGUUCGGGAGCGUGCCUUCGUGCUGCGCCCGUUUUAAUGAAAAAUGAUUUUAUUUAUUUAUUUGCAGGAGGCGUGGGGUGCUUAAAAAACACGUGGGAGCCUGCUUGGGAGCAACGCCAGGCGCCGGCUAGCCCGGCUGCGCUGCCCGCACGGCUGCACCCCCCAGAGAGCGUUCUAAUACUUCGGGUCCAGAUGGCCUUCUAAUGUGCGGAGGUGUGGCAGGGUGGAAGGACAGAGAGGGACCGAGAGGAGUGAGCGAGGAAGAAGUUAUGCUUGCAACUGAGAGAAGUGGUGAGAUAGGAACUCCAGAGGCUCCUACACUUAUUUUUUAUAGCGCGUACCACAUACUUGUGCAUAUGUACACUCCACCUCCCACUCACGAUCAUGCAGAGGAUUGCAUAAUAUUACCAUCUGAAUUUACAGAAUUAACCGAAUUGUUUGCAGAGGAAAAAUUGAAUGUUAUUUUCCCUCGUUUACAGUCCAACUAUAGAUCUUUUGUCUUUUAACGUAUGUUAACUGCAGAACAUGAGAGCAGCUGAACAGCCUGUGACAAGUCUGUUCUGCACAGUACUCCGGUUGGACCAGAGCUUGUUGAAGCCUAAAAAACAUGGGAAAACAUGUUCCAUAAUGUGGAACAGUAAUGCUGUGACAGAUUUUACAUGGCAACCUCUAAGUACUCCUUUCUGUAUAUAUAUUUUUAAAGAAUCUGUUGUUAACUCAUCAGGACUCAAUAUUACAUAUUCCAUGAUUUUUUUUAUGGAUGAAAAUAAUCAGAGUUACAGAAAUAAAAUACUCUUUUAUAUAAGAUCCCACCUAACCCCCAGAGAACAACAAUGCAAAGCACAAUCCUAUCUAUGAAAGAUAACAAAAAAAUCUAUCAAAUAGGUGUUUCAGCAUCUGAGUAGUAUUGGGAAGACUGUUACACUGUAAGUAAAAUCAUUUUAAUAACUGCAGGGAGCAAUUUCACUAGCUCAUUUCCCUUCUUUAUGUGAGAACUUAGUUUUGAUUUCAACACAGGGUUUUCUUGUGUUUUUUUUUUUUUCUUUUUUUUUUUUCCCCAGUGUGUUUUUUUUUUUUUAAUAUGACAAACUUGUGCAACUUCUUUUAUUUUGACCUCAGUUUUGAAGCUCUUUAUACUCUUAGAUUUGCACUGAAAUUGGCUUAUUAUAAUCACAUUAGGUUCCAGUCUUGCAAAGAUUUGCAUACAUGCUUAAUGUCAACCGUGUGAAUAGCCCUAUUAAAUUCGGUAGGAUGACUCGUGCACAACAUGAAGUAUGCACAGACAUCUCUGAAGAUUGGGGGCCAUAUGUUAGAACAUCAAAACAAGUUAUCCAUCAUUUAAUUUUAAAAUAGAGCUGUGGAACUAAUGUGUUAUUUGAAAAAACAUCCUGGACUUAUCUCAAAUCCCAGAGGCACAACUUAAUUUAAUUUCUUUGCUCUCCUACUUUUUAAAGGGUAUGAGUGCAAAACCAGCGAUGUCGCUUCAAAUAAAAAGAGCAGCUGAGACAGUUCAAAUAGAGCUGGGCACCUUCAGUUGUAAUUUUCUUCAUAUUUAUUCAAUUACAUAAACAUACUUAAAAGGGGAGAAAAUUAUCAUUUGGAAUUGAAAACAGAAAAGUGACCUCUUUUUGUUUGUUGAUUCAUUAAGCCUCAAGAUGAGUAUGCUUUUAUAUCUGUGCCUCAGUUUGUUCUGGGGCUGUUUUCUUCAGAAACACCGAAAUUAAUGCAAUUGCUAAAAAGGAUCUGUGCACCUUAAAGGUCAAAAGCCUGAUACCUCAAAGUGAUUAGCCUUAGCUGCAGUAUAUUUCAGCUGGAUUUGCAAGUGCUCAGCUGUACUUCCUAAGACCCUACUUUUGUGUGGAAUAUUUAUAGCCCUGUUCAGUCCCAGUAACUUCAGAGGUGACACAGACACCCAGAGCUGUCACCCCAGUGGUAAUUAAUGGUGUUCUUUUUUUUUUUUUUUUUUUUUUUAAUCUUAGCAGGUAAAUCAGUUUUAAAACCCUUUUCAAGUUUUCUGAGGAAAGAUCUGAUAUUAUGGUUGAUAGGAGGAAGGAUUAUAAUUUUUGUAUCCAAACGUGGCUAAAAGGAGUUAGCUGUCUUUCAUUCAACUGAAAAUUAAUAGGGGUUAAAGAUAAAUACUAACCUUUCAGUAUUAUUUAAUAGAGCACAACCCAACAAAAAAGGAGUUAUCAAUCAGCCAAAGUGCUGACUGCAUCAAAUGUGAAGCAGCAUUGGCUGAACAUGGUAUUAAAAGCUGUAUAAACCCAUGUGCUCAGAUAAUGACCUCGUAGAGAGAAAUCAGGCAAAACAUCCCAUACAUCACAAUUGCUUGGAAACACUGACAUUUUCACAGUGGAGUGAUGCUGAUGGCCUUGAACAUAACUGCAAUUAGUGAAGUAAGUGUCCAUCCGUUCUGGGGGAAAAAAUGAAUUAGUACAGGCUAUUUUGGGUCUUCUUUCAUGUCUCGUUUCUCUUAGUUGGGGAAAAAAAAGACAUAAUCAUAUUACCAGCCAGCACUCCACUGACCCAUGAUAAGGGAAACUGCAGAGGAUUAGGAACACUUUGCCUGGUUACUUAGGCAAGUGAGACAUGGAAAUAGGAAAACACAUCACCAUCCUUCUUGCAGUAUUGCAGAGUUCUCAGAUGUGUUUAUAAUUUCCUGUGUUUUUUUUUUUUUUUUCCUAGCCCAUUAUCACACACUUAAAAACUGAAAAUGAUUCAUCUGUUUAGUCUUACUUAGAAUGUGAAAAGAUUAAAUAACGAAAACAGACUCUUUUUUCCUGUGGGAUAAAAUAAGUAUGGUUUUCUAAGAAGCUGUAGAUGCUUUCAAAGCUCUGCAUUGAAAGGUUUCUACGUAGUGUCCAAAAGUUGGUGAAUAUCGCGUCCUUGUUAAAAAAAUGCUGAUAACUUCGUAGUGUCUCUUAAGAAAAAAGAGGGAAAAAAAAGUUUAAUCUACUUUUUCUUGCUCACUCAACUCUAAGUACCUAAUAAAUAAGAUCUGUCCCAUAAAGUUGCAACUCACAGACCCAAUUUGCUGUCAAAAAACUUGCACAAAAAGAUUGUUUAUGAUGAAUGUUUCACUUUCCAGGUAACAAGAAAAAAUAAUGCUUCCUAAACUCAGAAAUAAACGCAGAAUGAACACAAGUAUUUCAUGAGGGACAUCUGUACAUUAUGUGAGGUAGGCACAAAUGAAUUGUAUCAACAUAAUUUUUUAUCGUACAUCCUUAAUAUAAAUAGCAAGCAUA